rnacentral:rRNA from 1 species
GACGAACCGUACGAACGUUAUUCGGAAUCACUGGGCUUAAAGGGCGCGUAGGCGGCUCGCGAGGUCGGGGGUGAAAUCCCACGGCUUAACCGUGGAAGUGCCUUCGAUACCGGCGGGCUCGAGGAAGGUAGGGGUGCGCGGAACUUCUGGUGGAGCGGUGAAAUGCGUUGAUAUCAGAAGGAACGCCGGCGGCGAAAGCGGCGCACUGGAUCUUUUCUGACGCUGAGGCGCGAAAGCCAGGGGAGCAAACGGG